rnacentral:rRNA from 1 species
GACGAACGCUGGCGGUGUGCUUAACACAUGCAAGUCGAACGGUAAGGCCCUUUCGGGGGUACACGAGUGGUGAACGGGUGAGUAACACGUGAGUAACCUGCCCUCAUCUCUGGGAUAACAGUCGGAAACGGUUGCUAAUACUGGAUAUGAGCUUGCAAGGCAUCUUGUGGGUUGGAAAGAUUUUUUUUGGUUGGGGAUGGACUCGCGGCCUAUCAGCUUGUUGGUGAGGUAGUGGCUCACCAAGGCUUCGACGGGUAGCCGGCCUGAGAGGGCGACCGGCCACAUUGGGACUGAGAUACGGCCCAAACUCCUACGGGAGGCAGCAGUGGGGAAUAUUGCACAAUGGACGGAAGUCUGAUGCAGCAACGCCGCGUGCGGGAUGACGGCCUUCGGGUUGUAAACCGCUUUCAAUUGUGACGAAGCUUUUUUGUGACGGUAGCAGUAGAAGAAGCACCGGCUAACUACGUG